UUUGCCGUGUUCUCAACUUCUCAUUGUUGAUAGCAUAAGUCUGUACGGGGUUCCGCUGACAUGAAAUUGCUCCACUGGUUGGGUGUGGAAGGCGUCGGCCUGGCCCCUAGGUCCUGCCAUUAGGCCCUGCACGCUUCUCCGGAACAGGAUGCUGAUUGAUCCUGACAGAGGUAGGUUCAACUAUUUGUUUUCACCAGUAUUGUGCAUUGAUAUUGAUGAUUGUUUGUCUGUAUGGUUUUGUUCAUGUGUUCCGUGGGAUAUGUCAGAUAGUUAUCUGUUAUCGAUACAUGUUGUGCGACAUUUGCACAGGUUCAUAAGAGGAGUUUUGGUCAGAGUUCGAGUUGUAUGCAGCGGAUAUGUUGGUAGGAGUAGUUAUUAAUGUAGCUUUAGUUGGCAUGUUGGCACCAUACGUUCGAUUCAGUGGUGGAUCUGGAUCACAAGGUCUCCUUGGCCGUGUAAGGUAUGCUUAUGAUGCCCUCCCAAAUUUACUUUGCUUUGCUUACGGAUGGUGGUAUACAUAUCUGGAUCAGAAGGUCUCCUUGGCCGUGUAAGGUAUGCUUAGGAUGCCCUCCCAAAUUUACUUUGCUUUGCUUACGGAUGGUGGUAUACAUCUAACAAUUUUUUUAAUUUGUGUAGGAUUAUACAUGGUGCAUCUAUUAUUGGAUCUUGGGUAAAAUUUUUCUUUAACCAUGGUUGCUUGCAGUUUAAAUGUGAUCGCUUUAUCGGAUUACAGAAGCUUAAGAUAUUAUUUCAUUCUCAAAUAGUCCACCUUGUCAUCAGCUUUAUCGGAUUACAGAAGCACGAGGGUUUGUUAUUUUCCUUCAUGUAAUAUUUCUUUAUUUUUCUUUACAUAUGCUCUGGUACCCAAAAGUAUAAUUGCGGAUUGUUAACACAUCAUUGCCACUGAAGGAUUCAUUUUCAAGUUUCUUGUGUUUGAUCAAUCCAACAAUUUGGCGCAGAGUUGGCUAAUCUUAUCAAGCAAUGACAAGCCUUGUAUCUGUAAGCUGUCCAACCUAGCCUGAAGCUCUUGGUCAAGGUGAAUUGAGCAGAAGGUUGCUCCAUUUCCAGCACCUUGCAUACGAUUUAAGAGUGCAAUAUUCCAUUGUCCACUUCAAGUAUCAAUUGUGCUACCAUUGUGUACAAGUGGGCUAAUGAAGAAGAUUUUGGUGUACCCAGAGGCUGAGUGAGAAAUAUGGAUGGAUCUUGCUACAUUUUUAGACCAUAUUUUAAAUUCUGGUGUUGUAUCAAUUAAACCAUAUUUUAAAUUCCUGGACCAAGUUCAUACGUUGGCUUUGGUAUAAUAUUUUCUUGAACUAUUAUUAUUGUUAAUUUUAUUAUGUUAAUAUGUC